rnacentral:tRNA from 1 species
AAGACUUUAAGUUAAUUUAAAACUAAAAACCUUCAAAGUUUUCAAUAGAAUAUUCUAAGUCUUG